rnacentral:tRNA from 2 species
GGGCAUGUAGCUCAGUCGGUAGAGUAGCAGCUUCACAUGUUGUUGGUCGGGAGUUCGAGUCUCCCCAUGCCCA